GAGAGGCUGGGAUUCCGUUCAGCAGAGCAUCACCAUGGUCAGGAGCAAGGUGGAUAAAUUAGAGACGACAUUAGCAGGCAUAAAAAACAUUGACACAAAGGUACAGAAAAUCUUGGAGGUGCUGCAGAAAAUGCCACAGUCCUCACCUUAAUAAAUGAGAGGACAUUGUGGCAGCCAAAGCCACAGCUUGGAAGAUGGGGCUGCACCUGCCAAAGAAGACGGGAAAUGACCCCCCUCCAGCCUAGUGUGAACCUGCCCCUCGUCCCACAUAUAGAAAAACCUCGAGUCAUGGUGAAUGAGUGUCUCGGAGUUGCUCGUGUGUGUGUACACCUGCGUGCGUGUGUGUGCGUGUGUGCGCGUGUGUUCGUGUGUGUGCGUGUGCGCGGGUGUGUGUGCGUGUGUGCGUGCGCGUGUGUGCAUUUUGCAAAGGGUGGACAUUUCAGUGUAUCUCCCAGAAAGGUGAUGAAUGAAUAGGACUGAGAGUCACAGUGAAUGUGGCAUGCAUGCCUGUGUCAUGUGACAUAUGUGAGUCUCGGCAUGUCACUGUGGGUGGCUGUGUCUGAGGACCUCCAGCAGAUGUCACUCUGAGUGUGGGCGUUGGUGACAUGCAUUGCACGGACCUGUCUCCCUGUUUUUGUAAACAUACUAGAGUAUACUGCGGCGUGUUUUGUGUCUACCCAUGUCAUGGUGGGGGAGAUUUAUCUCUGUACAUGUGGGUGUCGCCAUGUGUGCUCUGUCACUAUCUGUGCCUGGGUGAACGGCUGUGUCAUUAUGAGUGUGCCGAGUUAUGCCACCCUGUGUGCUCAGGGCACAUGCACACAGACAUUUA
rnacentral:lncRNA from 1 species